UCAAGCUAAUAAGAGCACAGGGUGGAUGCCCAGGCACCAAACGCCGACGAAAGACGUGGCAAGCUGCGAAAAGUCACGGGGAACCGCAAGCAGGUAUUGAUCCGUGAACGUCUGAAUGGGGAAACCCGGCGGGUUAACAGCCCGUCACUAUUAACUGAAUCAAUAGGUUAAUAGGGGGAACGCGGGGAACUGAAACAUCUCAGUACCCGUAGGAAGAGAAAAUAAAGAAUGAUUUCCUAAGUAGCGGCGAGCGAACGGGAAAGAGGCCAAACCGAAGGGCUUGCUCUUCGGGGUUGUGGAUCAGCAAAAAGGACGGAAGACCUUAGCAGAAGAGGAUUGGAAAGUCCCGCCAGAGAGGGUAAAAGCCCCUUACGCGAAAAGGUCAAACGACGAGCUGACACCAGAGUACCGCAGGACACGAGAAAUCCGGUGGGAAGCCGGGAGGACCACCUCCCAAGCCUAAAUACGAAUUGGUGACCGAUAGCGCAUAGUACCGUGAGGGAAAGGUGAAAAGAACCCCGGGAGGGGAGUGAAAAAGAACCUGAAACCCUGUGUUUACAAGCAGUGAAAGUGCAAGUUAGGCACGAUCACGUACUUUUUGUAGAACGGACCGGCGAGUUACGUUAUGCAGCAAGGUUAAGAACUAAAGGUUCGGAGCCGAAGCGAAAGCGAGUCUGAACAGGGCGAUAGUUGCAUGACGUAGACCCGAAACCGGGUGACCUAUCCAUGAGCAGGUUGAAGUGGAGGUAAAGCUCCAUGGAGGACCGAACCAGACGUCUGUUGAAAAAGGCGGGGAUGACUUGUGGAUAGGGGAGAAAUUCCAAUCGAACCCGGAGAUAGCUGGUUCUCCUCGAAAUAGCUUUAGGGCUAGCCUCAUGGAUCAUUGAUGGGGGUAGAGCACUGAAUGUGCGCGGGGGCCACAAAGCCUACCAAACGCUAUCAAACUUCGAAUACCAUACAAUGCAGACCAUGGGAGUCAGUCCGCGAGAGAUAAGUUCCGCGGGCAAAAGGGGAACACCCCAGAUCAACCGCUAAGGUCCCCAAGUUCACGUUAAGUGGAGAAGGAUGUGGAAUUGCACAGACAACCAGGAUGUUGGCUCAGAAGCAGCCACACAUUUAAAGAGUGCGUAAUAGCUCACUGGUCGAGUGAUUGUGCGCCGAAGAUGUCCGGGGCUAAACGUGACACCGAAGCGAUGGGUGCAUCUGAAAGGAUGCGCGGUAGAGGAGCAAUGUGCAGAGGCAGAAGCCGUAUCGAGAGGCACGGUGGACACUGCACAAGAGAGAAUGCCGGUAUGAGUAGCGAGAGGCAUGCGAGAAACAUGCCCGUCGAAAGCCCAAGGUUUCCUGGGGAAGGUUCAUCCGCCCAGGGUAAGUCGGGGCCUAAGCCGAGGACGGAAGUCGUAGGCGAUGGACAGCAGGUGUAGAUUCCUGCACUACCGAUGGAAUGAAGCAGUGACACAGAAGGAUAACUCGAGCAGGGUGAUGGUCAACCCUGUGCAAGCAUCGAGGUUGGGUUGUAGUGAAGUACGCAACCCUAUAAGCUGAGAUGUGAUGCGGACCGAAAUUUCAGUAGGGAAGCGAGUGAGUUCACGCUGGCGAGAAAAGCUGCUAGUAUAUCCAAAGGUACCCGUACCGGAAACCGACGCAGGUGGGCGAGGAGAGAAUCCUGAGACGAACGGGAGAACCCUUGUUAAGGAACUCGGCAAAAUGACCCCGUAACUUCGGGAUAAGGGGUGCCUGCGAGAGCAGGCCGCAGAGAAUAGUCACAAGCGACUGUUUAGCAAAAACACAGGCAUCUGCGAAAGCGAGAGCUGACGUAUAGGUGCUGACACCUGCCCGGUGCUGGAAGGUUAAGGGAACAUGUUAGAGCAAUCGAAGCAUCGAACCGAAGCCCCAGUAAACGGCGGCCGUAACUAUAACGGUCCUAAGGUAGCGAAAUUCCUUGUCGGGUAAGUUCCGACCCG
rnacentral:rRNA from 1 species